UCACAUACACAGACAAAUUGCACGCAUACA
rnacentral:piRNA from 1 species